rnacentral:rRNA from 1 species
UACGAAGGGGGCUAGCGUUGCUCGGAAUUACUGGGCGUAAAGGGAGCGUAGGCGGAUAGUUCAGUCAGAGGUGAAAGCCCAGGGCUCAACCUUGGAAUUGCCUUUGAUACUGGCUGUCUUGAGUAUGGGAGAGGUUAGCGGAACUCCGAGUGUAGAGGUGAAAUUCGUAGAUAUUAGGAAGAACACCAGUGGCGAAGGCGGCUCACUGGUCCGGUACUGACGCUGAGGUGGCGAAAAGCGUGGGGAGCAAACAGG